GUGGGAGACGGUCCAUUUUACAGCUGGUUCUCGAAAAGGCCGCAGACCCACUCACGCUGGGAGUUGGAGUUGAAGUUGGUGCGGGAUACCAAGUAGAAACUCCGUGGUCUGGUCUCCGUACCUGCACUUCGUGAUCUGUAAGCUUCGAUGCAUUCAGUAUUUCCUUUAGCUUUAGGCCAUUUAUUUGGCGAGUUGGUGUUUGUGACCAACAUAUAACACUCGA
rnacentral:lncRNA from 1 species